rnacentral:rRNA from 1 species
UACGUAGGUGGCAAGCGUUGUCCGGAAUUAUUGGGCGUAAAGCGCGCGCAGGUGGUUUCUUAAGUCUGAUGUGAAAGCCCACGGCUCAACCGUGGAGGGUCAUUGGAAACUGGGGAACUUGAGUGCAGGAGAGAAGAGUGGAAUUCCACGUGUAGCGGUGAAAUGCGUAGAGAUGUGGAGGAACACCAGUGGCGAAGGCGACGUCUUUGGCCUGUAACUGACACUGAGGCGCGAAAACGUGGGGAGCGAACAGG